rnacentral:pre_miRNA from 1 species
UUUAUCUUCAAUUCCGUAGUGCAUUUGCAGUGUGAAGUAUAACGACUGCAAACACGGCGGAAGUGAAGAUAAAUU